rnacentral:lncRNA from 1 species
CCCACGAUGAUUCUGUCACUGAGAUGUCAUUGUAUUUCAGCCAGCUUUUCCGAGGCUGGUCAUAUAUGAAGGCCCAGUAGUGACCAGCAUUUGCUUGCCCUUCAUGCACCAAGACAGCGUGCAAGUGAUAAGGAACCUGCUGGAGGUGAGGGUCGCUGUACAUUUCGUCAAUGGAUAGGCUGAUUCUGGCGAUGGACUCCUUCAGAUCUCGCACAUCUUGCUCAAUCUCAU